GUAAGGAUGCCAGAGGGAUAUGGGAGUGGUUUAGGUCCGCUUUACGAGGGUUUGCCCUCUUCUUACU
rnacentral:tRNA from 1 species